rnacentral:lncRNA from 1 species
UUUUGUCCAAAAUUUCUUAACAUGUUGAGUUGAAUUACUUAUAAGGUGAAGUGACUAAAAAAUAACGUUAUGGGGCAAACUGAUAGUAGUGAUAUAGUUUAAGGGGGUAAAGUGAUAAUAACCCUUAAUUGAAUGGCAUCUGUUCCAGUACUAUUAGCCUCGUCACACUCAACUCCACCCCUUAACAAGGUUUUAUUGGUAGUAGAUUGCCUAAAUCAUGUCGGGGCUCACUAAUCUACUUAUCGAAGCACAAUUUCUUUUAUUGAAUUUUACAGUGAAAUUAAAAAUUACAACACAUCCCAAUAGAAAAACAAAAAUCACUUCACUUCUAGUCUUUUUACAUGAAGAUUCUAACAAAAAUUCGGUCUAAUCAUUGAUAGGUCACUCAUAUGGCACCUCAGCAACCAAAUCAGCAUGUGCAAAAUCUAUUUAUGUUGGAGGUGAGCUACACAGUUUAAUGAGACCCCUAGGCUUAUGUUUUAGACGCAUAGAUAGACCUAAUAUAAAUUGUACUCAACAAGCAAAGAAAAAAUAAAUAAAUCAUAAUACAAUAAAGGAUACGACAUUGAUUGUUGGUGACAAUCCUGUUUCACCUUAUACUACCAUUACGAGUUCAACCUCCUACUCCUAAUCAAUAAGUCAGUUCUAAAAAUACCUUUUACUCUUGAUCUAAUAAGUGAACAACCUCCUACCCAAGUAUUGCAUUGGGACCAAUGUGUGCAAUGACGUUCGACAUAACUCUUGCUUGCUUGACGGAUCAAGGCACAAUACUGGCAUAACUACUUGUACCAGUGUGAUAAAGUACACAAUUGAUACGGUCAAACACAUGCAAUCACGAUUCACUCUUUGACAUAACAAAUUCAUGAACAUUUCCUGAUGUGGUAAAGAAUACAACCGGCAAAUGAUUCAAUUCACUUGUAGACUAAUUCAAUGAUCAAGUACAAUCAUCAUGUAUUUAAUAUAAUAGUCGCACAUUAAUCAUUUAUGAUCACUCAUCAGUUAAAU